UACGGGGGGGGCAAGCGUUGUUCGGAAUUACUGGGCGCAAAGGGCUCGUAGGUGGCCAACUAAGUCAGACGUGAAAUCCCUCGGCUUAACCGGGGAACUGCAUCUGAUACUGGAUGGCUUGAGAUUGGGAGAGGGAUGCGGAAUUCCAGGUGUAGCGGUGAAAUGCGUAGAUAUCUGGAGGAACACCGGUGGCGAAGGCGGCAUCCUGGACCAACACUGACACUGAGGAACGAAAGCCAGGGGAGCAAAACCGGGGAGUUAGAAUACCCGG
rnacentral:rRNA from 1 species